rnacentral:rRNA from 1 species
UACGUAGGGUGCAAGCGUUAAUCGGAAUUACUGGGCGUAAAGCGUACGCAGGCGGCUUUGUAAGUUAGAGGUGAAAGCCCGGGGCUCAACUCCGGAACUGCCUUUAAGACUGCAUCGCUUGAAUCCGGGAGAGGUGAGUGGAAUUCCGAGUGUAGAGGUGAAAUUCGUAGAUAUUCGGAAGAACACCAGUGGCGAAGGCGGCUCACUGGACCGGUAUUGACGCUGAGGUGCGAAAGCGUGGGGAGCAAACAGG